UUUAUUUACAGGCCCACUCGUACGUUGGUUUCGGCACACCACAACCAACUUUUCCUUUUCAGAUACUAUCCAUUACGUAUUAAAUUCCGAGCACAAAUAUAUAUAUAUAUUUUAAUUGGGGUAGCACCCAAAAUAUUGGGACUUAUAAAAAAAGACAACUCUGUUCAGCAGAGUAGAUGUUGACAUUAUAGUUGCGCAGGCACUUUGUUGACUCUAGAGAACCUCGGGCCAAUCGCACAUCACCGUGGCUGCGACUUUGCAUGAGGAUGUCAUCCAUAUCAACUUUCUAUUCUGCACCUACCAUGGUGACCACAGGUAACGGGGAAUCAGGGUUCCAUUCCGUACAGGGACCCUGAGAAACGGCUACCACAUGCAAGGAAGGCAGCAGGCGCACAAAUGACCCACUCCCAACGCGGGAAGGUAGUGACGACAAAUAACAACACAGGACUCUUUAGUGUAAUGAGUCCACUUGAAAUCCUUUAACUCUGAUCAAUUGGAGGGAAGUCUGGUGCAGAGCCACCGACCCGUGCGUGCUGCAGCUGAAACUCCACUGUCGCCUGCAGCUGCUCCCACA